UUUGAAUUUUUUGAAAUACUAAGGCUUUUCUACCUCAGGCAUAGAUUACCUUAGCUGUAUUUGGCAAAACUUUUAGGACUUUUGGUUCUCAAUGCUCUUCAACUUCGUACUUUAUUUGGCUUUUUAAACUUUUUUGGAUUCGAGCGUCACUGAUGAGUCUUUUGUAGACGAAACGCGCGUCUGGCGUAUAUACUAAAUUUAGUCCUGGUA
rnacentral:lncRNA from 1 species